CUUGAGAUUAUGGAGUCUGAGUCGAGACUCGCUGUUUCCUUCUUUCAAUCCUUAGUUGAUCAGAGACGCAUACCUCAAGUCAUUGUUCUUCUGCAAUUGCUCUUUAACAUUAUGCUUCUUCUUCACCAUUAACUUCAAUCAAUUUCAUUGUGAUUGAAAUGGCGAAUGAAUUGCAGAACUGGGUACUAAUGGUGACUGCUCAAACUCCAACGAAUAUCGCAGUCAUCAAGUACUGGGGGAAGAGGGAUGAAACCCUAAUUCUUCCUGUAAACGACAACAUUAGUGUAACGCUUGAUCCAGAGCAUCUUUGCACAACGACUACCGUUGUUGUUAGUCCCAAUUUCGAGAAUGACAGGAUGUGGCUCAAUGGGAAGGAGAUUUCCCUCUCUGAUGGUAGAUUUCAGAACUGUUUGAGGGAAAUCCAGUGUUGAUGAUGAGGACAAGGGGAUCCACAUUAAGAAAGAAGGUUGGAACAAAUUGCACGUACAUAAACUUUCCAACUGCCGCUGGAUUGGCUUCUUCUGAUGUUGGUUUUGCUUGUCUUGGUAAAAUUGCAUGCAGCCUUUGCUUUGUGGUGUUUUAAAUUAAAAGUUGUACACUUGUCUGGUGACUGGGAAUUGGGAAAAAGUUUACAGGAGUAAUAAUUGUAGCUUAAGAGUAGUUUAUAUUUAUUGCAGCCAAAGAAAAAGGUAGUUUAUAUGUAUUUCAGGAAUGGGGGCUAAACGAAUUCUGACUAGCAUUGGUGUCUGAUCUUGUUAUUCUUUUAGAUAGGAAAAU